CACAACUGGUAUUUUAUUAUUUUCCCUUCUCACUUCUUUCUCCCUCUCGAAAUCAGCAGAGCCAGAGGCGCUCCCUGCUCGGCUUCCUCAAAUCAUCUCAUCAUCUUCACGCCGCUCGUUGCGGCAAAGCCAGAUAUUGAACUUCUCUCUCUCUCAUCUCUUUUAACGUUGGAAGAAGAGCUGCCUGCGGCCGCGGCUGCGCCUCCUGUGUUCUUCACAGCAGCUUGCUCUUCAUGUCUUCUUCGUAGUAGGGGGUCUUCACGGCUAGCAAUCCAUCUCUUCCCAGCUUCUGAAGAUUUUUGUGCCUUUCCCUUUGAGGU
rnacentral:lncRNA from 1 species